UGCGAGCGUCGCAGAGCUUACAUGGAAGUAUGAGGGAGGAUUUUGGAGAGUUUUUCGCAGCCCUGGACCAGUAGAGUCCUGGUUGGAUGUUCGAUAAGCUGAGAGAGAAGAGGUUUUAUUGUUGAAACAGGGUCAGAUAUUGUAGCUUGGCUCAGUUGGGACUAAGUUUCUGAUCAAAGAAGCAGGUUUUUGAAUUAAACUGAGCUUAAUUGGUGACAUUGGGGAUUGGUUUAGAAGGUGUUCUAACCCAGACAAGAGUGCGAUCGACUUUUGGAGUGACUUCAGCUGACUUGUGAAAGCUCUUGAAGACUCAACUUGAGCAGGUCCAGAGACCGUUUGAGCUGAGUUUGGAGCUUCUGUUGGGCUGUUUUGAGCUUAGUGAUAAGUGGGUUUGACCUAACCAGAGCA